rnacentral:rRNA from 1 species
GGUUUUUUGAAUUAUAAUUUAAGAUUAGUUCUGCUCAAUGAUUUGAAAUUAAAUAGCCGCAGUAUCUUGACUGUGCUAAGGUAGCAUAAUCAAUUGUUUUUUAAUUAAGAACUGGAAUGAAGGAAUUGAUGAGAUUAAGACUGUCUAAUAUAAAAUGUUAAAAUUUAAAUUUUAAGUAAUAAUUCUUAAAUAAGGUUAUGGGACGAGAAGACCCUAUAGAAUUUGAUAUAAUUUUUUAAAAUAAGUAUAAAAUAAUAUUUAAUAAAAUUAAUAUUUUAUUGGGAGGAUAAUUAAAUUAAAUUAACUUUAAAAUAAGAAUUAAACAUUAAUUUAUGAUAAUAGUUGAAUAAUUUUAUUAUAAUAAUUAAAAUUAAUUAAAAAUUAAUUACCUUAGGGAUAACAGCGUAAUAUUUUUAAAAAGAUCAUAUUGAUAAAAGUGUUUGCGACCUCGAUGUUGAAUUAAAAUAAAAAUUAAAUGAAGAAGUUUAAUAUUUUAGUCUGUUCGACUAUUAAAAUUUUACAU